rnacentral:rRNA from 1 species
CAGUGAGGAAUAUUGGUCAAUGGAGGCAACUCUGACCCAGCCAAGUAGCGUGCAGGACGACGGCCCUACGGGUUGUAAACUGCUUUUAUGCGGGGAUAAACGGCAUUACGUGUAGUGCUUUGCAGGUACCGCAUGAAUAAGGACCGGCUAAUUCCGUGCCAGCAGCCGCGGUAAU